rnacentral:rRNA from 1 species
CCUACGGGAGGCAGCAGUAAGGAAUAUUGGUCAAUGGAGGCAACUCUGAACCAGCCAUGCCGCGUGCAGGAAGAAGGCCCUAUGGGUCGUAAACUGCUUUUGUACCAGAGAAAACCCGAGUACGUGUACUCGGUUGAUAGUAUGGUAAGAAUAAGCAUCGGCUAACUUCGUGCCAGCAGCCGCGGUAAGACGAAGGAUGCAAGCGUUAUCCGGAUUCAUUGGGUUUAAAGGGUGCGUAGGCGGACUGAUAAGUCAGUGGUGAAAUCUCUCGGCUUAACCGAGAAACUGCCAUUGAUACUGUUAGUCUAGAGUAUAGAUGACGUCGGCGGAAUAUGACAUGUAGCGGUGAAAUACUUAGAUAUGUCAUAGAACACCGAUUGCGAAGGCAGCUAACGAAACUAUAACUGACGCUGAGGCACGAAAGUGCGGGGAUCAAACAGGAUUAGAUACCCUGGUAGUCCGCACCGUAAACGAUGAUUACUCGUUGUUGGCAAUAUGACCGUCAGCGACCAAGCGAAAGCGAUAAGUAAUCCACCUGGGGAGUACGCCGGCAACGGUGAAACUCGAAAUGAAUUGACGGCGNGAGAGNGCGAGGACGACGACGAGGGAGAGG